GAGAAAGACAUAGAGGCUAUGAGGUUGGCUUGAAACCAGUUUUAGGGGGUUCGAGUCCUUCCUUUCUUA
rnacentral:tRNA from 1 species